rnacentral:rRNA from 1 species
UACGUAGGGUGCGAGCGUUGUCCGGAAUUAUUGGGCGUAAAGAGCUCGUAGGCGGUGUGUCACGUCGGCCGUGAAAACCUGCAGCUUAACUGUGGGCGUGCGGUCGAUACGGGCAUCACUGGAGUUCGGCAGGGGAGACUGGAAUUCCUGGUGUAGCGGUGAAAUGCGCAGAUAUCAGGAGGAACACCAGAGGCGAAGGCGGCCUACUGGGCUGCACCUGACGCUGAGCCGCGAAAGCCAGGGGAGCAAACGGG